GAUGAGACAGCAAUACCAACUGCAAGAGGAUCCUUGCGCCGAUUGCUUAGUCCAUUUCUGCUGCGAAUCCUGUGCUUUAACCUUGGAGUACCGUGAGCUCAAAAAGCGCGGAUUCGACAUGUCCAUUGGAUGGCAUAUGAACAUGGAAAGGCAGAACAGAGGAAUCCCAAUGACUCCAUUCCCUCCUGGGGGCAUGAUGAGGUAAAGAUUCAAGAUCACCUCAACUUGGAUUGGAUGCUCCAGAAAUUUGAACCCUAUGUUGGAGAGUCUACACUAGUAAAAACCCUCGAGGGAUCACUGCCCUCUGUCCUGAGGGCCUCUUUUCUUUUUUUCCCUUCGAUUUUAUCUUUCAUUUGACAGUAUAAUCAAACAUGGAGCAUCCAUCGCUUUGGUACCAUGCAUAUUACUAGUACAUCAAUAUACUAAAAGCUUGCUUGACAA